rnacentral:rRNA from 1 species
CCCUCAGAUGUUCUGGGCCGCACACGCGCUACACUGAAGGAGGCAGCGUGUACUCCUGGAUCGAAAGAUUUGGGUAACCCGCGAAUCUCCUUCGUGCUAGGGAUUGAGGUUUGCAAUUAUCCUUCAUGAACGAGGAAUUCCCAGUAAGUGCAAGUCAUAAGCUUGCGCUGACUACGUCCCUGCCCUUUGUACACACCGCCCGUCGCUACUACCGAUUGAAUGAUUUAGUGAGGACUUCGGACUGGGACCGAUGCGGCUUUCGGGCUGCGUCGGUAUUCUGGAAAGAUGUCCAAACUGUAUCAUUUAGAGGAAGUAAAAGUCGUAACA